AUGAAUAACAUAUUAAACCUUAGCUACACGCAUCUUCCUCUUCAUCUCCGGGCAUGUUUUUUGUACCUUGGUAUGUAUCCUGAGGACCACAUUAUAUGGCGGGAUCAUCUUGUUAGACAAUGGAUAGCUGAAGGCUUCGUCAGCAGUUUGCAUGGGUCAGAUUUGGAGGAUAUUGGCAGGAGUUACUUCAAUGAGCUCGUCAAUAGAAGUAUGAUUCAGCCAUCAAAAACUGAGUAUGGAGAGGUGUUGUCUUGCACAGUACAUGACAUGAUGCUUGAUUUGAUCCUAAUCAAGUGUGUAGAAGACAAUUUUCUAAGUGUGGCGUACAAUUCUGAGGACAUGGCAAGACUGAUGCAUGGCUGCAAGUACAAUGUUCGCAGAUUAUCCCUGAGCUCCAUGGCUAUUGGUGGAGCAACAUAUGAGUAUGAUAUGGCUAUUGCUGCUAGACUGCCACAAGUUCGGUCAUUUAUAUUGUUUGAGAAUCCCAUACCACCUUUUUUGUGGUUCAAGUAUCUCAGGGUGCUCAUCAUUGUUAGGGGAAAGGAUACAGUUGACCUCACUGCCAUUAGCCAACUGUUUCAGCUGAGGUGUGUGAUGGUUAGAGUCGAUGGGAAAAUAGAGCUCCCUACUGAACUUGGUAAGCUUGUUUACUUGGAGACACUGGACAUACAGAAAUGCAGGCUGGUAAAGAGCAUCCCUUCAGAUAUAGUUCAUUUGCCCCGCCUGUCCUAUCUGGGUCUUCCAAAUUGUACAGACCUGCCGGAAGGUAUCGAUAAUAUGAAAUCACUGCGUACUCUGCAAGAGUUUGACCUGGAAAAGAUCUCCCUGAAGUAUAUUAUGGGUCUCAGCGAGCUGACCAAUCUGAGGGAACUGAGUGUGAAAAAAGAGUUCAGUUUGGGGACGCAAAAAGUUGAUGCUUUGGCCUUCUCCAUUGGAAAGCUCCGUAACCUCGAAUGUCUGCGCAUCUUUGGUUGCCAUCUUGAGAGUGAGAACCUGCAGCUGGGCUCAUUAUCCAAUCCUUUUCAACAUAUGGAGCGACUUUGCAUGAGAACAUGGUGGUUCUGCAGAGUUCCGAAAUGGAUGGAUGGUCUCCAUUGUCUGCGCGUCCUUGAGCUGCAGGUUGAGACGUCAACUGAGGAGAUUCAUCUUCUUGGAGAGCUUCCCUCCCUCGUCUACCUCAACUUUGGAGCGGGUAAAAUCCCUGCUGAAAGAGCUAUAUUAGGCACAGGACUAUUCCUAGUUCUGGAGUAUUUUUAUUCUAGUUCUCGGAAAGACAUUACAGCGUACCUGGGGUUCGAAGCAGGGGCUAUGCCCAACUUACGAAUCCUUUGUCUCAGUGUGGUGCAUUGGGGUGGUACCAUACCAGUCGGCAUGGAGCACCUGUUACACCUCCAGGAGAUCCGACUUGACGGGGCCUCUCAUGAUGUUGUGUGCGCGUUCAAGGAGGCUUCGCUGGUGCACCCAAACCGCCCUUCCGUUAGUAGACUGGGCUCAAGCCUAGAAAUAAUGGGAAGAUGGUAG
rnacentral:rRNA from 1 species